rnacentral:rRNA from 1 species
AGAGUUUGAUCCUGGCUCAGAACGUACGCUGGCGGCACGCCUAACACAUGCAAGUCGAACGAAGUAGCAAUACUUAGUGGCAGACGGGUGAGUAACAUGUAGGUAUCUGCCCUUUGGCCUGGAAUAACACGAGGAAACUUGUGCUAAUACCGGAUAAGUCUUUACGGAGAAAGCUUUAUGCACCAUUGGAUGAGCCUGCACUUGAUUAGUUUGUUGGUGGGGUAAUGGCCUACCAAGACUGUGAUCAAUAGCUGAUUUGAGAGGAUGAUCAGCCACAUUGGGACUGAGACACGGCCCAAACUCCUACGGGAGGCAGCAGUGGGGAAUCUUGCACAAUGGAGGAAACUCUGAUGCAGCGAUGCCGCGUGAGUGAAGAAGGCCCUUGGGUUGUAAAGCUCUUUCGUCGGGGAAGAAAAUGACUGUACCCGAAUAAGAAGGUCCGGCUAACUUCGUGCCAGCAGCCGCGGUAAUACGAAGGGACCUAGCGUAGUCCGGAAUUACUGGGCUUAAAGAGUUCGUAGGUGGUUGAAAAAGUUGGUGGUGAAAUCCCAGAGCUUAACUCUGGAACUGCCAUCAAAACUUUUCAGCUAGAGUUUGAUAGAGGAAAGCAGAAUUUCUAGUGUAGAGGUGAAAUUCGUAGAUAUUAGAAAGAAUACCAAUUGCGAAGGCAGCUUUCUGGAUCAUUACUGACACUGAGGAACGAAAGCAUGGGUAGCGAAGAGGAUUAGAUACCCUCGUAGUCCAUGCCGUAAACGAUGUGUGUUAGACGUUGGAAAUUUAUUUUCAGUGUCGCAGCGAAAGCGAUAAACACACCGCCUGGGGAGUACGACCGCAAGGUUAAAACUCAAAUGAAUUGACGGGGACCCGCACAAGUAGUGGAGCAUGUGGUUUAAUUCGAAGAUACGCGCAGAACCUUACCAACACUUGACAUGUUCGUCGCGACUCUAAGAGAUUAGAGUUUUCGGUUCGGCCGGACGAAACACAGGUGCUGCAUGGCUGUCGUCAGCUCGUGUCGUGAGAUGUUGGGUUAAGUCCCGCAACGAGCGCAACCCUCACUUUUAGUUGCCAUCAUUAAGUUGGGCACUCUGAAAGAACUGCCAGUGAUAAGCUGGAGGAAGGUGGGGAUGACGUCAAGUCCUCAUGGCCCUUACGUGUUGGGCUACACACGUGCUACAAUGGUAUCUACAACAGGAAGCAAGACGGCGACGUUAAGCAAAUCCUUAAAAGAUACCUCAGUUCGGAUUGCACUCUGCAACUCGAGUGCAUGAAGCUGGAAUUACUAGUAAUCGUGGAUCAGCGUGCCACGGUGAAUGCGUUCCCGGGUCUUGUACACACCGCCCGUCACACCAUGGGAGUUGGUUCUACCUUAAGGCAAGGUUUAAAACCCUUGACCACGGUAUGGUCAGCGACUGGGGUGAAGUCGUAACAAGGUAACC